CAACAGAAUAAUUCAGAACUGAAUUUUUAUAUAGACCAGUCUAUUACCAAUGCCGAAUGGAUCUGUAAGAAUCCAAAGACAGGUGCCACGUUAAUAAUGACACUAAAAACAGAAGAUCAAACGACGAGACCAUUCGAUUUUUUUUUCCCUAAUUUAGAA
rnacentral:lncRNA from 1 species